AGAGCGAACGCUGGCGGCAGGCCUAACACAUGCAAGUCGAGCGCCGUAGCAAUACGGAGCGGCAGACGGGAGAGUAACACGUGGGAACGUGCCCUUUGGUUCGGAACAACACAGGGAAACUUGUGCUAAUACCGGAUAAGCCCUUACGGGGAAAGAUUUAUCGCCAAAGGAUCGGCCCGCGUCUGAUUAGCUAGUUGGUGAGGUAACGGCUCACCAAGGCGACGAUCAGUAGCUGGUCUGAGAGGAUGAUCAGCCUCACUGGGACUGAGACACGGCCCAGACUCCUACGGGAGGCAGCAGUGGGGAAUAUUGGACAAUGGGCGCAAGCCUGAUCCAGCCAUGCCGCGUGGAUGAUGAAGGCCCUAGGGUUGUAAAGUCCUUUGGCGGGAAGAUAAUGACGGUACCCGCAGAAGAAGCCCGGCUAACUUCGCGCCAGCAGCCGC
rnacentral:rRNA from 1 species